rnacentral:rRNA from 1 species
UACGUAGGGGGCAAGCGUUGUCCGGAUUUAUUGGGCGUAAAGAGCGUGUAGGCGGUUCGGUAGGUCCGUUGUGAAAACUCGAGGCUCAACCUCGAGACGCCGAUGGAAACCAUCGAACUAGAGUCCGGAAGAGGAGAGUGGAAUUCCUGGUGUAGCGGUGAAAUGCGUAGAUAUCGGGAGGAACACCAGUGGCGAAGGCGACUUCCUGGCCUGUUCUUGACGCUGAGGCGCGAAAGCUAGGGUAGCAAACGGG